rnacentral:rRNA from 1 species
UAGGGAAUCUUCGGCAAUGGCCGAAAGUCUGACCGAGCAACGCCGCGUGAGUGAAGAAGGUUUUCGGAUCGUAAAACUCUGUUGUUAGAGAAGAAUGUUGAUUAGAGUGGAAAAUUAAUCAAGUGACGGUAUCUAACCAGAAAGGGACGGCUAACUACGUGCCAGCAGCCGCGGUAAUACGUAGGUCCCGAGCGUUGUCCGGAUUUAUUGGGUGUAAAGCGAGCGCAGGUGGUUUAAUGAGUCUGAUGUAAAAGGCAGUGGCUCAACCAUUGUGUGCAUUGGAAACUGUUAGACUUGAGUGCAGUAGAGGAGAGUGGAAUUCCAUGUGUAGCGGUGAAAUGCGUAGAUAUAUGGAGGAACACCGGUGGCGAAAGCGGCUCUCUGGACUGUCACUGACACUGAGGCUCGAAAGCGUGGGUAGCAAACAG